GCUGUGGCUCAGUGGUAGAGCAUCUGCUUGGCAUGCAGAAGCUGCCAGGUUCUAUCCCUAGCAUCUCCU
rnacentral:tRNA from 1 species